AGCAGCCGCGGUAAUUCCAGCUCCAAUAGCGUAUAUUAAAGUUGUUGCAGUUAAAAAGCUCGUAGUUGAACUUCGGGGUUCACCCAUUGGUCAGGCUUAAUUGUCUGUACUGGUGAGAUGAGUCUCUACCUUCUGAGGAACUUUCAUGCCAUUUAUUUGGUGUGAUUGGAAAUCAGGACUGUUACUUUGAAAAAAUUAGAGUGUUUAAAGCAGGCUAACGUCUGAAUACAUUAGCAUGGAAUAAUGAAAUAGGACGGAUUGAUUCUAUUUCGUUGGUUUCUAGGGUCACCGUAAUGAUUAAUAGGGAUAGUUGGGGGCAUUAGUAUUCAAUUGUCAGAGGUGAAAUUCUUGGAUUUAUUGAAGACUAACUACUGCGAAAGCAUUUGCCAAGGAUGUUUUCAUUAAUCAAGAACGAAAGUUAGGGGAUCGAAGACGAUCAGAUACCGUCGUAGUCUUAACCAUAAACUAUGCCGACUAGGGAUCGGACGCAGUUAAAAAAAUGACGCGCUCGGCACCUCAUG
rnacentral:rRNA from 1 species